GCCUGCGGCGGGGCAGGGCCGGGGUUAGAGCCCUGGGGGGGCCCUGGGGGAGCACUACCGGGGGCGAGGAGGGGUCCCGAGGCACAUCCCGGGCAGGGAGCAGCGGGGACGGUGAGGAGGAGGAAAGGGGAUCACAGAGCUGGGGGAGGAGGAGAGCUGCAAAGACCUUGUUGGAACAACUACCUGACCUCCUGUGGUGCCUCAACCACCCAAUCCAGCACCAUUUGGACUCCAAAGGAAGGAGAAAUUCUGGCAUUAACCACAUCCAGCUUUGCCCUGGGCUGCCAUCCAAAAGGCAAAGGCCAAGUGAAGCCUGCAGCGGUGAAGUCGGCAAGGCAGAGAAGUCGUCCGGUGAUGUCCUCUUCCUUGG